GGGACACAUUACUUUUCUCUUCUGUGACCACUGGAGGGAACUUGCCUUUAGUUCUCUUGCGAAAUAACCUUCUCAGAGCUUCCUUUACUCAUGACCUUAGCUGACCACCAAUCUCCUCAGAUGCAAAUCUACGGACAGCGCUCAACAUUUGAAAAGUCCUACAAAAUUACCACUUGGUGUACUGCUACUUCAAAGUGACGACAGCCGCUUCUAGUGAUCAUAAGCUGGGUUUGAGCUAGUAACCUGGAAACGAGUUUCUUGAGCAUACUGAUAAUACUUCAAGGACUUCAAGGAACAACUCAGCCAUCGUGUGAAAAGAAGAGACUUCAACUGUAGAUUAUUAUGAAACCCACAUAGCCAAGGACUAGAAAUUCACUGUAAAACCUAAGUUUCAAACAUUCAAUGAACAACCCACGUAUUUCUUUUUUUAAAAUCUAUUUCACAUAUCAAGUUUUCGUCAGCUAAAAAAACUUGCAAUACAUUGCUGAUAGAGUUAGAAAUUAAUUGGGAAAGAGCUGAAGAAAAAUACAGCAAAACGGUCCCAUUAAGUUUUGGUGAAUGGAACGUGGACACGUGUCAUGAUACUCUGUACAUUUUCUUGUGCUGAAAGCAUUUCUUUGUUAUUCUUUUUAAGAAAUCAGUUGUGUUGAACCGUGUUAUUGUGUUUAUUCAGACCCGGAAGACUCAAGGGGUGGCUGUGGGGUUUCAUUUCCGAGCCCUUGACUCCCUUCCGUGGACACUUGUACAAGCUCUUCCUGACCUGUUCCCUUGUUCUUGAGAGAACAAGAGCCUUCAAUUUCACCAGAAGACUUGAGCCUUUAGUCCUUAUUGUUGGAUGGCUUCCAGGUUGAUCCUGGAUUGUCUUCUCCAGCCAUUCCUCAGCCACUCUGGUUAGUCC
rnacentral:lncRNA from 1 species